CUAUAAUUUUUUAAUAUAUGUAUUUUAUUUACUACAUUUUCUCUACUCUGAGUAACUUUUUGAACAUCGACAACUGACACCCUAAUUAGGAAUAAAAGUUUUGCUGUCAAAAUAAUUGUUAACUUCAAUCCUAAACAUGGCGUCAAAAUUGUUUAAAGAGAAGUUUACGAAUAUAAAAAACAAGCAAAUAUGAAUUCUAUAGAAUUUAGGGUUUAAAGUAAUGAAAUGGCAAAAAAACCCUGCUUAAAUGGGAAGAGCAGUAUCUCUGCUUUAGCGAUCAAAACAAUUUUGGAAGUGGAAACAUUACCUUGUUUGUUUGGAAAGAAGAGAAAACACUAGUAUAACUUACCCGAUUUUUAACAUUUCAACAUUUCCUUUAUGGAGUCAUAUCGAUUUGUUGAUAGGUUGGACUUAACAAGAACUCUGAUAGUACAUUUUUUUCCAAACAGAACGUGGAGAUUAUAAAGCACGUAGUUAAGAAGGUGCCUUGCCCAAUUGCUUAAACGAAAAAGCAGUUUGAAGAAUAUAUAACAUCCGAUGGUGAACUAAGACUCGAGGUACAAUAGAAAAAAUACUACUAUAUAUUGUACAAGUUUAAAAAGGUGAGAAUGGAUUUUAAUGUCACGUUGUUAUACUGUCAUUAUAACAAUAUUAUAUUGUUACUAUUAUAAUAAAAAGGUUCUUUAUGACAUGAGAUAUCGUAGACUUUUUUAUAUGGUCGCAACAAUUGUAAUUUAAUCAACCAAUAAAGCAAGUUACUAAUUCUUAGUUAGUCGAUUAUUUGUUAAAGUUAAUCGUAAGGCAAUGGUAAAAUAGUCUAAAAUCCGAAUCUAUAGAACUGUUUCGGCAUAGCGUUGAAAGAACAGAGAA